rnacentral:rRNA from 1 species
GUGAGGAAUUUUGCGCAAUGGGCGAAAGCCUGACGCAGCGACGCCGCGUGGAGGACGAAGGCCUUCGGGUUGUAAACUCCUUUUCCCAGGGAAGACUUCGACGGUACCUGGGGAAUAAGCCACGGCUAACUCUGUGCCAGCAGCCGCGGUAAGACAGAGGUGGCAAGCGUUGUUCGGAAUCACUGGGCUUAAAGGGCGCGUAGGCGGUGCGGUAAGUCCGGGGUGGAAUCCUAUGGCUCAACCAUGGAAUUGCCUUGGAAACUGCUGCACUUGAGUCAGUGAGGGGAGGGCGGAAUUCCUGGUGUAGCAGUGAAAUGCGUAGAUAUCAGGAGGAAGGCCUGUGGCGAAGGCGGCCCUCUGGCGCUUGACUGACGCUGAGGCGCGAAAGCGUGGGUAGCAAACAGGAUUAGAAACCCGAGUAGUCC